UUAAUUUGAGAGUUUGAUCCUGGCUCAGGACGAACGCUGGCGGCGUGCCUAAUACAUGCAAGUCGAACGAACUCUGGUAUUGAUUGGUGCUUGCAUCAUGAUUUACAUUUGAGUGAGUGGCGAACUGGUGAGUAACACGUGGGAAACCUGCCCAGAAGCGGGGGAUAACACCUGGAAACAGAUGCUAAUACCGCAUAACAACUUGGACCGCAUGGUCCGAGUUUGAAAGAUGGCUUCGGCUAUCACUUUUGGAUGGUCCCGCGGCGUAUUAGCUAGAUGGUGAGGUAACGGCUCACCAUGGCAAUGAUACGUAGCCGACCUGAGAGGGUAAUCGGCCACAUUGGGACUGAGACACGGCCCAAACUCCUACGGGAGGCAGCAGUAGGGAAUCUUCCACAAUGGACGAAAGUCUGAUGGAGCAACGCCGCGUGAGUGAAGAAGGGUUUCGGCUCGUAAAACUCUGUUGUUAAAGAAGAACAUAUCUGAGAGUAACUGUUCAGGUAUUGACGGUAUUUAACCAGAAAGCCACGGCUAACUACGUGCCAGCAGCCGCGGUAAUACGUAGGUGGCAAGCGUUGUCCGGAUUUAUUGGGCGUAAAGCGAGCGCAGGCGGUUUUUUAAGUCUGAUGUGAAAGCCUUCGGCUCAACCGAAGAAGUGCAUCGGAAACUGGGAAACUUGAGUGCAGAAGAGGACAGUGGAACUCCAUGUGUAGCGGUGAAAUGCGUAGAUAUAUGGAAGAACACCAGUGGCGAAGGCGGCUGUCUGGUCUGUAACUGACGCUGAGGCUCGAAAGUAUGGGUAGCAAACAGGAUUAGAUACCCUGGUAGUCCAUACCGUAAACGAUGAAUGCUAAGUGUUGGAGGGUUUCCGCCCUUCAGUGCUGCAGCUAACGCAUUAAGCAUUCCGCCUGGGGAGUACGGCCGCAAGGCUGAAACUCAAAGGAAUUGACGGGGGCCCGCACAAGCGGUGGAGCAUGUGGUUUAAUUCGAAGCUACGCGAAGAACCUUACCAGGUCUUGACAUACUAUGCAAAUCUAAGAGAUUAGACGUUCCCUUAGGGGACAUGGAUACAGGUGGUGCAUGGUUGUCGUCAGCUCGUGUCGUGAGAUGUUGGGUUAAGUCCCGCAACGAGCGCAACCCUUAUUAUCAGUUGCCAGCAUUAAGUUGGGCACUCUGGUGAGACUGCCGGUGACAAACCGGAGGAAGGUGGGGAUGACGUCAAAUCAUCAUGCCCCUUAUGACCUGGGCUACACACGUGCUACAAUGGAUGGUACAACGAGUUGCGAACUCGCGAGAGUAAGCUAAUCUCUUAAAGCCAUUCUCAGUUCGGAUUGUAGGCUGCAACUCGCCUACAUGAAGUCGGAAUCGCUAGUAAUCGCGGAUCAGCAUGCCGCGGUGAAUACGUUCCCGGGCCUUGUACACACCGCCCGUCACACCAUGAGAGUUUGUAACACCCAAAGUCGGUGGGGUAACCUUUUAGGAACCAGCCGCCUAAGGUGGGACAGAUGAUUAGGGUGAAGUCGUAACAAGGUAGCCGUAGGAGAACCUGCGGCUGGAUCACCUCCUUUCUAAGGAA
rnacentral:rRNA from 1 species